rnacentral:tRNA from 1 species
GCUAAUAUAGUUUAUUUAAGAAUAUUAAUUUGUGGGGUUAGAGGAACUAAAUUAAGUUUUUAGCA